GCGAAGGCAAGCGGAUCUCUUAAAGCUGUUCUCAGUUCGGACUGCAGUCUGCAACUCGACUGCACGAAGCUGGAAUCGCUAGUAAUCGCGGAUCAGCACGCCGCGGUGAAUACGUUCCCGGGCCUUGUACACACCGCCCGUCACACCAUGGAAGUCUGCAAUGCCCGAAGCCGGUGGCCUAACCACUUAUGUGGAAGGAGCCGUCUAAGGCAGGGCAGAUGACUGGGGUGAAGUCGUAACAAGGUAAC
rnacentral:rRNA from 1 species